rnacentral:rRNA from 1 species
UACGUAGGUGGCAAGCGUUGUCCGGAUUUAUUGGGUUUAAAGGGUGCGUAGGCGGUCCUAUAAGUCAGUGGUGAAAUACUCCAGCUCAACUGGAGAGGUGCCAUUGAUACUGCAGGACUAGAGUACUGAUGAGGUAGGCGGAAUGGGCGGUGUAGCGGUGAAAUGCUUAGAUAUCGUCCAGAACACCGAUAGCGAAGGCAGCUUACUAAAGAGUAACUGACGCUGAGGCACGAAAGUGUGGGGAUCAAAC